AAGCAAAUAACCUUUGCAUUUUAGACAAUUUAAAGCUAACAAAUAAUACUUUUUCAGCUUUUGAAUUAGUUUCAGUACAAAAGUAAGGCAUUUCUUAUUGACAUUGUCAAAGGGAAUGUGUUUAAUAUUAUUGCAACUUUUACAAAAUGUUUACAAAGAAACUCCUGGUUGACCUUUGUGCUGCCAAUAAGUUAAGGUACCAAAAUAGACAAGAAGACACCUUUCUCACACAUUUCUCUGUCAAUUCAGGCGGCAAUAGAGCAAUGAAUACAAAUAUAUAUCACGGAGGUUAAAGGUUGUUAUAAGUUGGACUGUUGGAGAGUAUUACUAAACAUAAAGUCCCAAUAUGUGCACACACCCGUACAAAAUAAAUUAUAUAUAAAAAAGAAGACCAAAAUUUUAUUUAUAUGCGAAUACCAAAGUAACGACAUUAGUUUUAAAUACAAUUUUGGGGAACAUAUUUAAUUACCAAAGCCAAGAAUUUCUGUAUCAAGAAGAACGGGUUCAAAUGCAAAUGAGGAGAGAAGGAUAACAGUUCAUCGCAAAACAUAAUUUUAUUGUGACUUCUAUAUCAAAUUCUGUUCUCGAAGCAUACUGAAAGUUGUUACUCUUUCUCCAAUAACAAUUGGUUUAGAUGCACAAACUGAUUAUUGAUAAGCAAACAGAAAUCAAUUUAAAAUGAUUGAAAGCCUAUUGGAGCCAUGACCCUGUUUCCCAAACUACAAAAGGUUGAAAAUACAACUGCAUCUUACAAAUGGAUUGACGUGUUCAAAACAAAUGGCAAUAACCAUGAAGGCAGCCCAAGAUCCCAUACAUUAGGAUCUAUAGCAAUCACCGCUGCUUUUUUGUUUUUUCUUGGUACUAAGUAACAAUCAGGCUACUGUAUCAUAGUAUUCAUCCAACAUAACAGCUAAACAUUAUGGGAUAAGUAAACAAUUAGUAACACCUAGCAGAUUUUGUAUUUUUAUUACAGCACUCAAAUUGUCUAACCUCCAACACUAAAUUGUUAGCAUUACGUCAAAAUUAUGAAACUAGAACAACAUUUUAACGAGUUGUGAAAAAGGUUCAAACUAAUUGAUGAUUCAAAAUGAAUAAGAAGAUUCAGACCUGGGCCUUGUUAAGAAACAUGCCAGAGCUCGUCCGAACUUCACUCUGUACACUCUUGCCUGAUUCAUUGUCAGCUACCAUGGACUUCUCUAGCUUAUCCUUGGCCUACUCACCCAAAUUCAGUAAAAACCCAAAUUCCAAAUUAGAAAAUGAAUACAAUUUUUUAUAAGUUAAAAAAAAAAAAAAUUUCCCUGAUUU